rnacentral:rRNA from 1 species
GAUGAACGCUGGCGGCGUGCCUAAUACAUGCAAGUCGAGCGAAUGGAUUGAGAGCUUGCUCUUAUGAAGUUAGCGGCGGACGGGUGAGUAACACGUGGGUAACCUGCCCAUAAGACUGGGAUAACUCCGGGAAACCGGGGCUAAUACCGGAUAACAUUUUGAACCGCAUGGUUCGAAAUUGAAAGGCGGCUUCGGCUGUCACUUAUGGAUGGACCCGCGUCGCAUUAGCUAGUUGGUGAGGUAACGGCUCACCAAGGCAGCGAUGCGUAGCCGAACAGAGAGGGUGAUCGGCCACACUGGGACUGAGACACGGCCCAGACUCCUACGGGAGGCAGCAGUAGGGAAUCUUCCGCAAUGGACGAAAGUCUGACGGAGCAACGCCGCGUGAGUGAUGAAGGCUUUCGGGUCGUAAAACUCUGUUGUUAGGGAAGAACAAGUGCUAGUUGAAUAAGCUGGCACCUUGACGGUACCUAACCAGAAAGCCACGGCUAACUACGUGCCAGCAGCCGCGGUAA